rnacentral:rRNA from 1 species
UUGGAGGGCAAGUCUGGUGCCACGCACGCCGCGGUAAUUCCAGCUCCAAUAGCGUAUAUUAAAGUUGUUGCAGUUAAAAAGCUUGUAGUUGAAUUUCGGGGUCAGCAGGUUGGUCGUGCCAAUGGUAUGAACUGGCCUUGCUGAUUCCUCCCUCUUGAUGAGACCGUAAUGCCCAUUAAUUUGGUGUUGCGGGAAUUCAGGACUGUUACUUUGAAAAAAUUAAAGUGUUUAA